rnacentral:rRNA from 1 species
CCUACGGGUGGCAGCAGUGGGGAAUAUUGCACAAUGGGGGAAACCCUGAUGCAGCGACGCCGCGUGAGCGAGGCAGUAUUUCGGUAUGUAAAGCUCUGUCAGCAGGGAAGAAGAAUGACGGUACCUGAAGAAGAAGCACCGGCUAAUGACGUGCCAGCAGCCGCGGUAAUACGUAUGGUGCAAGCGUUAUCCGGAUUUACUGGGUGUAAAGGGAGCGCAGGCGGUUCUGCAAGUCUGAUGUGAAAGGCCGGGGGUCAACCGCGGGACUGCAUUGGAAACUGCGGGACUGGAGUGUCCGAGGGGUAAGCGGAAGUCGUGGUGUAGCGGGGAAAUGCGUAGAUAGCAGGAGGAACACCGAUGGCGAAGGCAGCUUACUGGACGGUGACUGACGCGGAGGCUCGAAGGUGUGGGGAGCGAACAGGAUUAGAUACCCGAGUAGUC